CUGUUCCUACGGGGGGCAGCAGUGAGGAAUAUUGGUCAAUGGCCGAGAGGCUGAACCAGCCACGUCGCGUGAGGGAAGACGGCCCUACGGGUUGUAAACCUCUUUUGUCGGGGAGCAAAAAGGCCUCGUGAGGCCACAAGUGAGAGUACCCGAAGAAAAAGCAUCGGCUAACUCCGUGCCAGCAGCCGCGGUAAUACGGAGGAUGCGAGCGUUAUCCGGAUUUAUUGGGUUUAAAGGGUGCGUAGGCGGACUGGAAAGUCAGCGGUAAAAUCGAGAGGCUCAACCUCUUUCCGCCGUUGAAACUG
rnacentral:rRNA from 1 species